rnacentral:lncRNA from 1 species
UUGGGAGUUCUGGAUUUGGAAGUCUUCUAUCAAUGGGUCAUUCCUCUGGCAAAAAAGACAGACUUUGCAUGAAAGGUCCUGGAGGAUGCGGGGAAGUUGAAGUAGCUGUUUCUGGUGUCGUAGGUCAAUAAGAAAUUCAUCUUAGAAACUAUCCUCUAAAAUUCAGUUCCUUCUUUGUUUCUUAUUUCUCAAUGCAUAUCAUCACCAUGGUGUUAUCCCUUAUCAUAAUUUGAUGUAAAAACAUGUGUUUUAUCUGAUUGCAGGCCUUGUCAUUUCUCUCACUAGCCGCGGCUUGCUCAACUGCUAGUGUGACAAGUCUUUUGGUCAAUGUCAGCUCUACAUAUUGCCCGUCAAAGAUAUGCAGUAGAUAUCAGUUGUCUGCAGCUAUGACUUUCAUGUUGCGGCUUCUGUCCUUUGUUUUAAUUCUCUUCAAUCUUUGGCUCUUUCUGUCUUUGUAGCGACUCGCAACUUCCAAGUUCCAACCCUUUCUUCAUACACAAAAAGUUCAGCAGGCAGAUCCUGACAGUUCCAUAGAUGUUCAAAUUAAGAAGUGUACAUUGACAGUAUUAUAUACAAACAUCAAAAUCUUGAACGAUAAUUUUGAAUUUCAAUUUUUUUGAAUAAAGUUUGC